CAUGUAAGGUGACACUGAUACAUGGCUGUCACGGAGCACUGUGUCAGAAGGUUAACAUCAUCGCUGUAGUGGCGGAGUGGAUUCUGGCAAUUGGCCUCAUGCUCAUCAUCCUCACAUACAUGCCAGAUUUUCAGCAAUUGUGUAUAAAAUGGCCACAGAAGCUGCUUGACGACUGGAUAUGUUUGAGGGAAGCGCUGCAUGCUGGGACAGAAUAUCCAUGACCACACUCCGGAAGACUUUGGCCCUAUUAUAUCACUAUCAGCGGAGCCAUAUGUAACAUCAGGACGGAAUGCCCAUCGUGCUACCAGUGUGCAGCCAACCCCCACUGGCUGUCACACAUCAAUGUCCAUGUCCCCAUUACUGGGUCCGGAGGUGUCACCUUACUGCCAUCUGUGUCUCCGGCGGCCACCUGAGCAAUCCUGAGACCCUUCUGUAAUGUGCAGUUCCUGCGGUUCUGCAUCAUGGGCACCAUCUUGGACAGUAUCACGUGAUCCAUUCUGACAAACCAGCCUUCACUAACUCCAGUCACGAUUUAGACAGCCCAAUAGUUCUAAGGGUGCCCUAUUAAAUCCAGAAAAUGCUGUCUGCAUAUUACAUCAUUAUCUGUGGAUUAGUACCCUGGCUCCUGGUUCAAUAACUGCUCCAGAGCCAUCUGCUCCAGUGACAUUGGCUCAAAUCACAUCCACAGUCAAUGCAGGAGGUACCAAACACAUAUCCAACAGAUUAAAGCAGCGCAUUUUAGCACUACGGCACCGGACAGAGCGCCUCUCCUGGGCUUGUGACAUCGCUAAUUGGUCCCUGGAGGUCUGGCAACAUGUGGUGUGGUCCUAAGGACUUGCAGCAAAAUGGGGUCCCUUGACGUGGGCUGCAAGCUUAA